rnacentral:rRNA from 2 species
UUAGGUUAAGUUAUGAAGGGCGCAUGGUGAAUGCCUUGGUACUAGGAGCCGAUGAAGGACGGGACUAACACCGAUAUGCUUCGGGGAGCGGUAAGUACGCUUUGAUCCGGAGAUUUCCGAAUGGGGCAACCCAAUCAGCUUAGUCGCUGAUUACUUGACUAGUGAAUACAUAGCUAGCAAGAGGUAGACGCAGUGAACUGAAACAUCUUAGUAGCUGCAGGAAGAGAAAGAAACAUCGAUUCCCUGAGUAGCGGCGAGCGAAAAGGGAAGAGCCCAAACCAACGAGCUUGCUUGUUGGGGUUGUAGGACUGAACAUUAGAGUUACCAAAGUGCGACGUAGUCGCAACAGUUGGGAAGCUGUGCCAUAGAGGGUGAAAGCCCCGUAGACGAAACGUCACACUCUCUGUUCAGGAUCCUGAGUACGGCGGGACACGUGAAACCCCGUCGGAACCCGCGAGGACCAUCUCGCAAGGCUAAAUACUCCCUAGUGACCGAUAGUGAACCAGUACCGUGAGGGAACGGUG